rnacentral:rRNA from 1 species
GACGAACGCUGGCGGCGUGCUUAACACAUGCAAGUCGAACGGAAAGGCACUGCUUGUUUGGGGUGCUCGAGUGGCGAACGGGUGAGUAACACGUGAGUAACCUGCCCUUGACUUUGGGAUAACUUCAGGAAACUGGGGCUAAUAUCGGAUAGGAGCUCCUGCUGCAUGGUGGGGGGUGGAAAGUUUCGGCGGUUGGGGAUGGACUCGCGGCUUAUCAGCUUGCUGGUGGGGUAGUGGCUUACCAAGGCUUUGACGGGUAGCCGGCCUGAGAGGGUGACCGGCCACAUUGGGACUGAGAUACGGCCCAGACUCCUACGGGAGGCAGCAGUGGGGAAUAUUGCACAAUGGGCGGAAGCCUGAUGCAGCAACGCCGCGUGCGGGAUGACGGCCUUCGGGUUGUAAACCGCUUUCGCCUGUGACGAAGCGUGUGUGACGGUACUGGGUAAAGAAGCACCGGCUAACUACGUG